UGUAAAAUGAGGGUUACAAAUAUGUACACUAAUUUAUCAUUUAUUUAUGCGCUGUAAAUAACAAUUAGUACCACCAAUUUUUUAAAUGAUAAAAAUGUACUAAACAGCUUGAUAGAUAUAAAACUUGAUUUUGUCGCGCUUUCAGCUCGGUUGCAUCUGCCUUUACCGGCUUUACGAUACGAAACCUACUCUCCGAAGUCAAAACGAGAACCCAUUCGUGGAACCUCACUCCCCGAGUGCAACUGCCGACGACCGGAAAUGACCUUGCUCAACUCAGAAGAGUACUCUUUUAAGAUUUGUUUUCGUGUCUGCGUUGACAAGAUCUUCCAGAGAAACUGGAGGAAUGUGAUAGUCUGCAAUCGGAUGUGGCAGAAUGAAACCUUUGAACACGGACGAAGCAAUGCUGAAGCGCAACUGCUGAUUCUGCUCGCCGGUAACCUACUGUGAUCUACAGGAAUGUCAAGCGAAAUCCAUGAGAUCGUGGCUGGGAUGUCUGGUAUCUUCAAUCCUCCUUGAGGAUAUUAGCCGUAGGAUGCUGUGAGAAGGGAUUGUACAUCAGUACCGUCGGUGAUCCAGUCCUGAGUGCCUGAUCGACUCUGGUGCGUACAGCGAUUCGCACUUUCGCCAUUCAGAGAUGGAAAUAAUAACAGAUUACAAUCAUCACUGGAUAUGGAAAAGAAUACAAGAUUGAUAUUGUUAAGAAUGAAUCUGUACACCGUCUGGUAAUGAAUGUGUAUACCGCAGUUUGGUUGAUAAUUAAGAUUGGUAAUUAAUUGGUAUAAUUCUUGUAAUUACAAACGAUUUUGGAAUAGUACAUAAAUACUGGCACUGUUUGCGUCGUUAAUCUCCGUCAUUGUUCCGGCAUAUUUUCGAUCUCCGUAAAAAUGCUCGUAACCUUUAUGUUAAAAAAAGCUUUGAAGCCGGCAUUGUAUCCUUCAGUAAUGAACUGAAGCGAAUAUUAAUUACUCUUUAAGAACAUGGCAUUCAUCAUAGGAGAAAUUAAAACAGUUCUCAUUCGUUACUGAGCAAGAAUUCCGAAUCUCCAAUAAAACAUGCGCAAUGUAUUUCUCAAUAAACUCUUUAUCACCGGUCCCGUUGGCAUGUUUUUCAAAGCACUCCGUCAUAUCCACCAAUCGAAGGCUUAAACUG